CCCCGCGGGCGCGAGGCUGGAGCGAGGGCUGCGGGAGCCUCGCCCGCCGCCUGCGCCCCGCGCCCCCUGCCUCGCGGCUGGGCCAAACGGGUCGAGGAGGGUCUCGUCCCGAAUGGUCCUUCGGGAGUAGGACUCAAGAGGGGUCAAGAUUCCCAACACCCCCAAAUGCCUGCUGAGGGUCGCCUCCGUUUCCUCGGAGACCCCUCGAAACCCCAUCAUUCAUCCACCCUGCUGAGGAACCCGAGCCCCAAGGCCGCGUGAAAUUGCACUGUCUCCGGCCGCUUCCUCCUCCAGACCCGGCGCCGGCCGGGCCUCUCCCGGGGAUUUGGCUGGGGGGCGGGGGUGGUUUCCAGCCUGGGAACAGCCCCGAAGUCCGCCUUCCCACUUCCACCCCGGGGGGGCUCCCGCACCUGUCGCCGUCCCCUCUGCUGCCCCCCACGGCCGCCUGGGAGAACAGCUGCUUCCCCUUCCACACGAGCCGGAGCGCGCCGUCGGGGCGCCUGGAGCUCUGCUGCUCUGCGGGGACGGAGGUGGGCACACUGUCCCCACCAGAGUUUCAAGCCUGAAGACGUCAAGAACAGUUGAGCUCUAGCCGGUUUGGCUCAGUGGAUAGAGCGACGGCCUGUGGACUGAGGGCUCCCAGGUUGGAUUCCGGUCAAGGGCACAUGCCCGGGUUGCUGGCUCAGUCCCCAAUGGGGGGCGUGCA